rnacentral:rRNA from 1 species
UCCGGCGUCCGUCGUCGUGCACUUCUCACCUAGUAGGAUGUCGCGACCCGCUGGGUGUCGGUCUACGGCCCGGGUGGUAAGACUGACGCGUCGCCGGUAAAACGGCACGCGGCAAACCCCCGGUCGCCCGACCGGUUGCCCGGCAGUAUACGAAACGGUACCAGGCCGCGCCACGCGCGCGUCGAGCCCGUCGCAAGCGAGCGCCAUUGCACCCGGAGGUACGGACCCAGCGCCGUCCCCGGUCCUGGUCCGCUGUUAGCUGUACGGUGUAACCUUCGACAGGCCUUGCCCUCGCGGCCCCGCGCCGCGAGUCUACCGGUCGGCGACGCUACUGCUUUGGAUACUCUUAGGACCCGUCUUG